GCAGGGUCAGAGGUUUCUGGAAAGGCCUUUGACCUGUGGGCGUGUUCCUAGAGGUCAGGUGGUGAGAAUGGCGGGGUCAGCGGACAGCAGUGGGGCUACAGGCUGUGUCUGUGGCUGCCCUGGCUUAGGGCUCUGGCUGGCCCCUCCUUUCCGACCUGGUCUGGCAGAGCAGCCCCGCAGGACCAGCUCGCAAGGCUCCUGGGGCCAGUGGGGCUCUGUCCUGUGAGGCGGUCCCUCCGCAAGGACAGAGUCAGAGAGAGGCUGGUCUAUCAUUUUUGCUUCAUGUAUUUUGAAACUCUUGGUUAGAGACAGGGUCUUGCUGUGUUGUCCAGACUGGUGUUGAACUCCUGGUUUCAAGCGAUCCUCCCACCUGGGAUUACAGGCAUGAGCCACUAUGCCCAAUCAUCUCUCUGAGCUUCUUGGAUCUGUAGUUUGUAUCUUUCAUUAUUUUCUGAAGAUUCUUGGCUAAUUUCUCUUUAAAUAUUUCUUCUUUAAAAAAUAUCUACUUCAAAUACCUAAUAUAGAUGACGGGUUGAUGGGUGCAGCAAACCAUCAUGGCAUGUGUAUACCUAUGUAACAAACCUGCACGUUCUGCACAUGUAUCCCAGAACUUAAAGUAUAAUAAAAAAAAUUUUUAAAAAGAAAAAUUAAAAUCUACUUCCUUCCUCUGGAAUUUUAAGGCUUAGGAGAAGAGUUGUGUACAUGUCCAGAAGAAAAGUGGAGUUGAGUCAGUUUAUUAGGAUGUGGUGUGGGUUUGGGAUUUUUUUGUUUUUGUUUUUGUGGUUGCUUUCAGUGUACCUCCAACUUCAAAGCAUUGUGCUUAGAGUAGAGGCUGGGUUUCCAGAGGUUUUUUGUUUUGUUUUCUUAAAAUGUUCCUGCUUUACUUGCAGCUUUCAGAAUUCCCAGUGGACCUGUACCUUGGAGGGAUGUUUCUUGAUGCAUGCUUGCCCCUUGUCCAGCAGUGGUCUCCUGUUCCUUGUUACUCAUGCUUGCUAGUCCAGUGAUGGGGACCAGUGAGGACUCUCUACUGUCCUGGUCCAGCCUCACUAUUAGACAGGCUAAAAGUUCUGUCAGCCUGUGGGAAGGGCAGGAAAUGGUCUGGCCCAAGUUCAUUAGAGGUUUUUGUUAUUGGUUUGUUUGUUUGUUUGUUUGUUUGUUUUGAGACAGAGUCUUGUUCUGUCACCCAGGCUGGAGUGCAGUGGUGCGAUCUCAGCUCACUGCAACUUCUGCCUCCUGGGUUCAAGCAAUUCUCCUGCCUCAGCUCCUGAGUAGAGGGGAUUACAGGCAUGUGCCACUAUGCCCAACUAAUUUUUGUAUUUUUAGUAGAGAAGGGGUUUUGCCAUGUUGGCCAGGCUUGUCUCAAACUCCUGACCUCAAGUGAUCCACCCACUUCAGCCUCCCAAAGUGUUGAGAUUACAGGUGUGAGCUAUCGCACCUGGCCAUGAGGUGUUCUACCACUGUUGGAAGGGUAGAAUGUUCUUUCCAGGUCAAGAUCCAUCAAAGAAACAAGGAAAAGUUUGGCUGUCUCAGAGAGGGGAUCAGGAUCACCAGGAAAUCUCCAGACAUGGAGAGCCAGUCUUUCUUGUGAGCAUCCAGUAAAGGUCUGUGGAGAAAAAUGUAUGAGAGAGGUGUGAAUUUUUCUUGUGUCUGUGACUCCCAGGAAUUUCAUAUUCACACAUUAGCCCACAAUUUGCCUUUAGUAAUUUUUUUUUUUAAAAGCUCCAGUCUGCAGCUCCCAGUGAGACCAACGCAGAAGGUGGGUGAUUUCCAGCUGAGGUGCCCGGUUCAUCUCAUUGGGACUAGUUAGGCAGUGGGUGCCACCCACAGAGAGCAAGCAGAAGCAGGGUGGGGCAUCGCUUCACCUGGGAAGUGCAAGGAGCCAGGGGACCUCCCUUCCACAGCCAAGGGAAGUGGUGAGGGACUGUGCUACCCUCCCUGGAUACUACACUUUUCCCGUGGAUUUUUGCAAUCUGCAGAUCAGGAGAUUCCCUCGUGAACUUACACCACCAGAGCCCUGGGUUUCAAGCACAAAACUGAGCAGCUGAUUGGGCAGGCACUGAGCUAGCUACAGGAGUUUUUUUGUACUCCAGCGGCACCUGGAACCAUAAUGAGACAGGAGACAGGAGAGACAGGAGAACCGUCCACUCCCCUAGAAAGGGGGCUGAAGCCAGGGAGCCAAGUGGUCUUGCUCAGCAGGUCCCACUCCCACAGAUCCCAGCAAGCUAAGAACCACUGGCUUGAAAUUCUCACUGCCAGCACAGCAGUCUGGAGUUGACCCAGAAUGAUCGAGCUUGGUGGCGGGAGGGGCAUCCACCAGUACUGAGGCAUUAGUAGGCGGUUUUCCCCUGACAGUGCUAAGGAGACUGGGAGGUUUGGAAUGGGCAGAAUUUACCACAGCAUGGCAAAGUGA
rnacentral:lncRNA from 1 species